rnacentral:rRNA from 1 species
AGAGUUUGAUUCUGGCUCAGAUUGAACGCUGGCGGCAUGGCUAAAACAUGCAAGUCGAACGCGAAAGGGGGCAACCCCAAGUAGAGUGGCGAAAGGGCGAGUAAUGCGUUUCUAAUGUACCUCAGACUCGGGGAUAGCUCACCGAAAGGUGAAUUAAUACUCGAUGAUACUGCCGGAUCGUAUGAUCUGGUUUUCAAAGGCUUGCUGGUCUGAGAUCAGGGAACGUCCUAUCAGGUAGUUGGUAAGGUAACGGCUUACCAAGCCUAAGACGGGUAGCGGGUGUGAGAGCACGGCCCGCCGCAUCGGGACUGAGACACUGCCCGGACUCCUACGGGAGGCUGCAGUAACGAAUAUUCCACAAUGCGCGAAAGCGUGAUGGAGCGAUGCCGCGUGCAGGAUGAAGCCCUUCGGGGUGUAAACUGCUGUCAGGGAUUACCAACACAAUGAGGAAUCCCAGAGGAAGAGGCGGCUAACUCUGUGCCAGCAGCCGCGGUAAUACAGAGGCCUCGAGCGUUAAUCGGAAUUACUGGGCUUAAAGGGUGCGUAGGCGGAGCGAUAAGUGCCUUGUGAAAUCCCAUGGCUCAACCAUGGAAUUGCUCGGUAGACUAUCGUUCUUGAGGUAGGUAGGGGUCACUGGAACUCUAGGUGGAGCGGUGAAAUGCGUAGAUAUCUAGAGGAACGCCGAUGGUGAAGACAGGUGACUGGGCCUAUUCUGACGCUGAUGCACGAAAGCGUGGGGAGCAAACGGGAUUAGAUACCCCGGUAGUCCACGCCCUAGAAACUAUGUGUACUGGAUCGCAGAGACUAAUACGUCAUUGUGGUCGAAGUAAAAACGUUAAGUACACCGCCUGGGGAGUACGGUCGCAAGGCUAAAACUCAAAGAAAUUGACGGGGGCUCACACAAGCGGUGGAGCAUGUGGCUUAAUUCGAAACAACGCGAAGAACCUUAUCCUGGGCUUGACAUGUAUGGAUUAGCAGGCGGAAACGUCUGUGAGGCUCUUUGAGUACAACAUACACAGGUGCUGCAUGGCUGUCGUCAGCUCGUGCUGUGAAGUGUCGGGUUAAGUCCCUUAACGAGCGAAACCCCUGUCGCUAGUUGCCACCAGGUAAUGCUGAGCACUCUAGCGAGACUGCCGGUGUCAAACCGGAGGAAGGUGGGGAUGACGUCAAGUCCUCAUGGCCUUUAUGCCCAGGGCUGCGCACGUGCUACAAUGGUGCGGUACAAAGCGAAGCGAGACCGUAAGGUGGAGCAAAUCGCAUAAAACGCACCCAGUUCAGAUUGAGGUCUGCAACUCGACCUCAUGAAGACGGAAUCGCUAGUAAUCGCGGAUCAGCUACGCCGCGGUGAAUGUGUUCCUGAGCCUCGUACACACCGCCCGUCAAGUCAUGGGAGCC